CGAGCCGGGCGGACGGCCGCGUGGAGUGCCUCUCGAGGUGCUUCCCGAGGAACGUCCGGGCUCCACAGGGCAGGGUGAUGGCUAACGGCCACCCGGGGUGACCCGCGGGACAGUGCCACAGAAAACAGACCGCCGGGGACCUCGGUCCUCGGUAAGGGUGAAACGGUGGUGUAAGAGACCACCAGCGCCUGAGGCGACUCAGGCGGCUAGGUAAACCCCACCCGGAGCAAGGUCAAAAGGAGCCGCCGCAAGGCGGCUCUGCGCGGACGUUCGAGGGCUGCCCGCCCGAGUCCGCGGGUAGACCGCACGAGACCGGCGGCAACGCCGGUCCUAGAUGGAUGGCCGUCUCCCCGACGACCGCGAGGUCCCGGGGCACAGAACCCGGCGUAUAGCUCGGCUCGUCUG
rfam:Streptomyces phaeoluteigriseus strain DSM 41896 Scaffold_15, whole genome shotgun sequence.